rnacentral:rRNA from 1 species
GAUGAACGCUGGCGGCGUGCCUAAUACAUGCAAGUCGAGCGAACGGACGAGAAGCUUGCUUUUCUGAUGUUAGCGGCGGACGGGUGAGUAACACGUGGAUAACCUACCUAUAAGACUGGGAUAACUUCGGGAAACCGGAGCUAAUACCGGAUAAUAUUUUGAACCGCAUGGUUCAAAAGUGAAAGACGGUCUUGCUGUCACUUAUAGAUGGAUCCGCGCUGCAUUAGCUAGUUGGUAAGGUAACGGCUUACCAAGGCAACGAUGCAUAGCCGACCUGAGAGGGUGAUCGGCCACACUGGAACUGAGACACGGUCCAGACUCCUACGGGAGGCAGCAGUAGGGAAUCUUCCGCAAUGGGCGAAAGCCUGACGGAGCAACGCCGCGUGAGUGAUGAAGGUCUUCGGAUCGUAAAACUCUGUUAUUAGGGAAGAACAUAUGUGUAAGUAACUGUGCACAUCUUGACGGUACCUAAUCAGAAAGCCACGGCUAACUACGUGCCAGCAGCCGCGGUAAUACGUAGGUGGCAAGCGUUAUCCGGAAUUAUUGGGCGUAAAGCGCGCGUAGGCGGUUUUUUAAGUCUGAUGUGAAAGCCCACGGCUCAACCGUGGAGGGUCAUUGGAAACUGGAAAACUUGAGUGCAGAAGAGGAAAGUGGAAUUCCAUGUGUAGCGGUGAAAUGCGCAGAGAUGUGGAGGAACACCAGUGGCGAAGGCGACUUUCUGGUCUGUAACUGACGCUGAUGUGCGAAAGCGUGGGGAUCAAACAGGAUUAGAUACCCUGGUAGUCCACGCCGUAAACGAUGAGUGCUAAGUGUUAGGGGGUUUCCGCCCCUUAGUGCUGCAGCUAACGCAUUAAGCACUCCGCCUGGGGAGUACGACCGCAAGGUUGAAACUCAAAGGAAUUGACGGGGGCCCGCACAAGCGGUGGAGCAUGUGGUUUAAUUCGAAGCAACGCGAAGAACCUUACCAAAUCUUGACAUCCUUUGACAACUCUAGAGAUAGAGCCUUCCCCUUCGGGGGACAAAGUGACAGGUGGUGCAUGGUUGUCGUCAGCUCGUGUCGUGAGAUGUUGGGUUAAGUCCCGCAACGAGCGCAACCCUUAAGCUUAGUUGCCAUCAUUAAGUUGGGCACUCUAAGUUGACUGCCGGUGACAAACCGGAGGAAGGUAGGGAUGACGUCAAAUCAUCAUGCCCCUUAUGAUUUGGGCUACACACGUGCUACAAUGGACAAUACAAAGGGCAGCGAGACCGCGAGGUCAAGCAAAUCCCAUAAAGUUGUUCUCAGUUCGGAUUGUAGUCUGCAACUCGACUACAUGAAGCUGGAAUCGCUAGUAAUCGUAGAUCAGCAUGCUACGGUGAAUACGUUCCCGGGUCU